GUAACAUCAGCUGAUGCCCAGCAUGGGCUGGGAGACCCACCGUCUGCACCAGAAAAUGCAGCUGGAGUUCAAUACCGAAUCCUGGAAGACUCCCCACCUGAGGAAGGACAGCUGGGAGACCCACCGUCUGCACCAGAAAAUGCAGCUGGAGUUCAAUACCGAAUCCUGGAAGACUCCCCACCUGAGGAAGGACAGCUGACACCUGAGGAAGCACAGCCGAAUGAUUUGUCGUCUACAGAUGGAAAUGCAGCUGGUGUGCCGAUGCUGGAGGAGUCGCCACUUGAAACAGAUGCUCCAGUGG
rnacentral:lncRNA from 1 species